AACCAUAGAAACCUGCGGAGUACCUGCGGAAGGAUCAUUACAGAGUUGCAAAACUCCCCAAACCAUUGUGAACGUUACCUAAACCGUUGCUUCGGCGGGCGGCCCGGGUCCUUCCCGGCGCCCCUCGGCCCUCGCGGGCGCCCGCCGGAGGUAAACCAAACUAUUGCAUUGUAUGGCCUCUCUGAGUCUUCUGUACUGAAUAAGUCAAAACUUUUAACAACGGAUCUCAGAUCGGAAGAG
rnacentral:misc_RNA from 1 species